UACGUAGGGGGCGAGCGUUGUUCGGAAUUACUGGGCGUAAAGCGCACGUAGGCGGAUUUGUUAGUCAGGGGUGAAAUCCCGGGGCUCAACCUCGGAACUGCCUUUGAUACUGCAAGUCUCGAGUCCGAUAGAGGUGGGUGGAAUUCCUAGUGUAGAGGUGAAAUUCGUAGAUAUUAGGAAGAACACCGGUGGCGAAGGCGGCCCACUGGAUCGGUACUGACGCUGAGGUGCGAAAGCGUGGGGAGCAAACAGG
rnacentral:rRNA from 1 species